AGAGAGAGAGAGAGGGGGGGAAGGAGGUGGUUCAUGUAUUUGUGCUGUCAUUUUUGUAAGUAAUGUUGCUGCUCUUGUUUGGCCUCUAGUUGUCUGCUCAACCAUUUUGAAUGCCAAAAAUUUAAUAAAAAUGUUACAUAACAUGACAGCUGUCCUUAGAAUUAUGAUGAAGAAUUUGUUGAUAGUUUAUACAAUCUUUGGUGUUAGGACUGAUAGCCUUCUACCUUGUACUAUCAGUCAUUACUGAUCCUCCUCCCCCUUCUUAAUAGGAAUCACUUCUAUUUCUGGAAUAAGAAAACUAAUGAAGUUUCCUGGUACCCACCAGCUAAAACUACCUACCAGCCAAAGCAGACAUUAGCAGAGGAGCAAAGGAAAAGACUUUCAAGGAAGUCUGGGCCUUCAUCUUUCAAGAAAAAGAAAAAGAAAUUUACUGAAGAUACUGACCUAGACCCAAUGGAUCCAGCUGCUUAUUCUGAUGCUCCAAGGGGGACAUGGCAGUCUGGUCUGGAAGAUAAAGGAGAAGCUAAGACUGGUGUGGACACAACUGCUAAUGGACCCCUCUUUCAAAUGAGGCCUUACCCCAGCCCUGGGGCCAUCCUUAAAAUGAAUAAAGAUAUUAAAUCAUGAUUCAUGCACUUGCACUUUUAUUAAUAAAAACUUAACAUCAA